UACGGAGGGUGCGAACGUUAAUCGGAAUCACUGGGCGUAAAGCGCGCGUAGGCGGUCUGUUAAGUGGGAUGUGAAAUCCCCGGGCUUAACCUGGGAAUUGCAUUUCAAACUGGCCGACUAGAGUACGGUAGAGGGAGGUAGAAUUCCGCGUGUAGCAGUGAAAUGCGUAGAGAUGCGGAGGAACACCGAUGGCGAAGGCAGCCCCCUGGGCCAACACUGACGCUCAGGCACGAAAGCGUGGGGAGCAAACAGG
rnacentral:rRNA from 1 species